AAGUCGUAACAAGGUUUCCGUAGGUGAACCUGCGGAAGGAUCAUUAAAGAGAACUUGCCCUUCGGGGUAGAUCUCCCACCCUGUGUUUAUCAUACCUUUGUUGCUUUGGCAGGCCCGUCCCCCGGGACCGCCGGCUUCGGCUGGCCCGCGCCUGUCAGAGGACCCCAAACUCAUGUUUAUAUGUCGUCUGAGUACUAUAACAAAUCGUUAAAA
rnacentral:misc_RNA from 1 species